CAAUAGCGUAUAUUUAAGUUGUUGCAGUUAAAAAGCUCGUAGUUGGAUUUCGGAUGGGAUUUGCCGGUCCGUCGUUACGAUGUGCACUGGCCAGUCCUAUCUUGUUGUCGGGGACUAGCUCCUUGGAUUCACUUCCUGGGACUAGGAGCUGACGAGGUUACUUUGAGUAAAUUAGAGUGUUCAAAGCAAGCCUACGCUCUGAAUACAUUAGCAUGGAAUAACACGAUAGGACUCUGGCUUAUCUUGUUGGUCUGUGAGACCAGAGUAAUGAUUAAGAGGGACAGUCGGGGACAUUCGUAUUUCAUUGUCAGAGGUGAAAUUCUUGGAUUUAUGAAAGACGAACUUCUGCGAAAGCAUUCGUCAAGGAUGUUUUCAUUAA
rnacentral:rRNA from 1 species